rnacentral:rRNA from 1 species
UACAGAGGGUGCGAGCGUUUAAUCGGAAUUACUGGGCGUAAAGCGUGCGUAGACGGUUAUGUAAGUCGGGUGUGAAAGCCCCGGGCUCAACCUGGGAAUUGCAUUCGAGACUGCAUAGCUAGGGUGCGGAAGAGGGAAGCGGAAUUUCCGGUGUAGCGGUGAAAUGCGUAGAUAUCGGAAGGAACACCAGUGGCGAAAAGCGGCUUCCUGGUCCAGCACCGACGUCAGGCACGAAAAGCGUGGGGAGCAAACAGGG